GUGAACCCCCCUGGACGUAUACUAAAUGUAUCCUGAGUGUUCAAUUCUUCCGGUAUACCUUUAGUAUACGUAACAGGAGACGUCAC
rnacentral:pre_miRNA from 1 species